rnacentral:rRNA from 1 species
ACGGGUGAGUAACGCGUGGGUAACCUGCCUCAUACAGGGGGAUAACAGUUAGAAAUGACUGCUAAUACCGCAUAAGCGCACAGGGCUGCAUGGCCCGGUGUGAAAAACUCCGGUGGUAUGAGAUGGACCCGCGUCUGAUUAGCUGGUUGGAGGGGUAACGGCCCACCAAGGCGACGAUCAGUAGCCGGCCUGAGAGGGUGAACGGCCACAUUGGGACUGAGACACGGCCCAGACUCCUACGGGAGGCAGCAGUGGGGAAUAUUGCACAAUGGGGGAAACCCUGAUGCAGCGACGCCGCGUGAAGGAAGAAGUAUCUCGGUAUGUAAACUUCUAUCAGCAGGGAAGAAAAUGACGGUACCUGACUAAGAAGCCCCGGCUAACUACGUGCCAGCAGCCGCGGUAAUACGUAGGGGGCAAGCGUUAUCCGGAUUUACUGGGUGUAAAGGGAGCGUAGACGGAAGAGCAAGUCUGAUGUGAAAGGCUGGGGCUUAACCCCAGGACUGCAUUGGAAACUGUUUUUCUAGAGUGCCGAAGAGGUAAGCGGAAUUCCUAGUGUAGCGGUGAAAUGCGUAGAUAUUAGGAGGAACACCAGUGGCGAAGGCGGCUUACUGGACGGUAACUGACGUUGAGGCUCGAAAGCGUGGGGAGCAAACAGGGUUAGAUACCCUGGUAGUCCACGCCGUAAA